rnacentral:rRNA from 1 species
UACGUAGGGGGCUAGCGUUAUCCGGAAUUACUGGGCGUAAAGGGUGCGUAGGUGGUUUCUUAAGUCAGAGGUGAAAGGCUACGGCUCAACCGUAGUAAGCCUUUGAAACUGGGAAACUUGAGUGCAGGAGAGGAGAGUGGAAUUCCUAGUGUAGCGGUGAAAUGCGUAGAUAUUAGGAGGAACACCAGUUGCGAAGGCGGCUCUCUGGUCUGUAACUGACACUGAGGCGCGAAAGCGUGGGGAGCAAACAGGAUUAGAUACCCUGGUAGUCCCUGAG